rnacentral:rRNA from 1 species
UUCCUACGGGGGGCAGCAGUGGGGGAUAUUGCACAAUGGGCGAAAGCCUGAUGCAGCGACGCCGCGUGUGGGAAGACGGUCCUCGGAUUGUAAACCACUGGCUUUGGGGACGAUAAUGACGGUACCCAAGGAGGAAGCUCCGGCUAACUACGUGCCAGCAGCCGCGGUAAUACGUAGGGAGCGAGCGUUGUCCGGAAUUACUGGGUGUAAAGGGAGCGUAGGCGGGAUAUCAAGUUGAAUGUGAAAUCUACCGGCUCAACUGGUAGGCUGCGUUCAAAACUGAUAUUCUUGAGUGAAGUAGGGGU